rnacentral:tRNA from 1 species
GUUAAGUUAGCAUAAUAAAUGUAGUAAGCUUAGGACUUAAAGAUUUUACCUUAAUU